CCCUCCUACAAAAGUGUGUCUGUAGUUCCCUGUCUUUGGACACAUAAGAAUUGGAGGCAAAGACAUGUGGACUUGGAGAAGUCUGGAGCCAGCUUGCUCCCUGCAGGCUCAAGAGCCACCAUCCCACGUAG